AGCCUUGAGGUGAGUUUCAUGUUGAAUUGCAAAUUCAAAGAAGCAGGCUAGAGCCUGCCGGGGCUU
rnacentral:tRNA from 1 species